rnacentral:rRNA from 1 species
GACGAACGCUGGCGGCGUGCUUAACACAUGCAAGUCGAGCGAUGAAGUUUCUUCGGAAAUGGAUUAGCGGCGAACGGGUGAGGAACACGUGAAGAAUCUGCCCUCCACUUUGGGAUAACACCGGGAAACCGGUGCUAAUACCGAAUAUUGAAACAUAAGUGGCAUCACUGAGUUUUGAAAGAAUUUCGGUGGAGGAUGACUUCGCGGCCUAUCAGCUAGUUGGUGAGGUAAUGGCUCACCAAGGCAACGACGGGUAGCCGGCCUGAGAGGGCGACCGGCCACACUGGGACUGAGACACGGCCCAGACUCCUACGGGAGGCAGCAGUGGGGAAUAUUGGGCAAUGGAGGAAACUCUGACCCAGCGACGCCGCGUGCGGGAUGAAGCUUCGGGUUGUAAACCGCUUUCAGUAGGGAAGAAGCGAAAGUGACGGUACCUACAAAAGAAGCACCGGCUAACUAUGUGCCAGCAGCCGCGGUAAUACAUAAGGGUGCAAGCGUUGUCCGGAAUUAUUGGGCGUAAAGAGCUCGUAGGUCGUUUGUUACGUCGGAUGUGAAAACCUGAGGCUCAACCUCAGGCCUGCAUUCGAUACGGGCAAACUAGAGUUUGGUAGGGGAGACUGGAAUUCCUGGUGUAGCGGUGGAAUGCGCAGAUAUCAGGAGGAACACCAAUGGCGAAGGCAGGUCUCUGGGCCAAUACUGACACUGAGGAGCGAAAGUCUGGGGAGCGAACAGGAUUAGAUACCCUGGUAGUCCAGACCGUAAACGGUGGGCACUAGUUGUGGGAACCUUCCACGGUUUCUGCGACGCAGCUAACGCAUUAAGUGCCCCGCCUGGGGAGUACGAUCGCAAGAUUAAAACUCAAAGGAAUUGACGGGGCCCCGCACAAGCAGCGGAGCAUGCGGCUUAAUUCGACGCAACGCGAAGAACCUUACCAAGGCUUGACAUAUAGGGAAAAGUGGCAGAGAUGUCAUGUCCGCAAGGGCUCUAUACAGGUGGUGCAUGGUUGUCGUCAGCUCGUGUCGUGAGAUGUUGGGUUAAGUCCCGCAACGAGCGCAACCC